rnacentral:rRNA from 1 species
GACGAACGCUGGCGGCGUGCCUAAUACAUGCAAGUUGAGCGAUGAAGCUUGGUGCUUGCCCCAAUUUGAAGAGCAGCGAACGGGUGAGUAACGCGUGGGGAAUCUGCCUUUGAGCGGGGGACAACAUUGGGAAACGAAUGCUAAUACCGCAUAACAACUUUAAACAUAAGUUUUAAGUUUGAAAGAUGCAAUUACAUCACUCAAAGAUGAUCCCGCGUUGUAUUAGCUAGUUGGUGAGGUAAAGGCCCACCAAGGCGAUGAUACAUAGCCGACCUGAGAGGGUGGUCGGCCACAUUGGGACUGGGGCACGGCCCCAACUCCCACGGGAGGCAGCCGUAGGGAAUCUUCGGCAAUGGACGAAAGGCUGACCGGGCAACGCCGCGUGGGUGAAGAAGGGUUUCGGGUCGUAAAACUCUGUUGGUAGGGAAGAACGUUGGUGAGAGUGGAAAGCUCAUCAAGUGACGGUAACUACCCAGAAAGGGACGGCUAACUACGUG